AACGCUAGCUACAGGCUUAACACAUGCAAGUCGCAGGGUAACGAGAGGGAAGCUUGCUUUCCUUGUCGACGACCGGCGCACGGGUGAGUAACGCGUAUCCAACCUGCCCAUUACCACGGGAUACCCCGUCGAAAGGCGGCCUAAUACCGUAUGCAGUCGUCAGAUGACAUCAGAGGACGACGAAAGGAUUGGCGGUAAUGGAUGGGGAUGCGUCUGAUUAGCUUGUUGGCGGGGUAACGGCCCACCAAGCCAUCGAUCAGUAGGGGUUCUGAGAGGAAGGUCCCCCACAUUGGAACUGAGACACGGUCCAAACUCCUACGGGAGGCAGCAGUGAGGAAUAUUGGUCAAUGGGCGCGAGCCUGAACCAGCCAAGUAGCGCGAGGGAUGACGGCCCUAUGGGUUGUAAACCUCUUUUAUGCGGGAAUAAAAUGUUUGACGUGUCAUACAUUGUAGGUACCGCAAGAAUAAGGACCGGCUAAUUCCGUGCCAGCAGCCGCGGUAAUACGGAAGGUCCAGGCGUUAUCCGGAUUUAUUGGGUUUAAAGGGAGCGUAGGCCGCAAGUCAAGCGUGUUGUGAAAUGCAGGGGCUCAACCUCUGGAUUGCAGCGCGAACUGGCAUGCUUGAGUACGCACGAGGUAGGCGGAAUUUGUGGUGUAGCGGUGAAAUGCUUAGAUAUCACGAAGAACUCCGAUUG
rnacentral:rRNA from 1 species